GAUGAACGCUGGCGGCGUGCCUAAUACAUGCAAGUCGAGCGAACAGACGAGGAGCUUGCUCCUCUGACGUUAGCGGCGGACGGGUGAGUAACACGUGGAUAACCUACCUAUAAGACUGGGAUAACUUCGGGACACCGGAGCUAAUACCGGAUAAUAUAUUGAACCGCAUGGUUCAAUAGUGAAAGACGGUUUUGCUGUCACUUCUAGAUGGAUCCGCGCCGCAUUAGCUAGUUGGUAAGGUAACGGCUUACCAAGGCAACGAUGCGUAGCCGACCUGAGAGGGUGAUCGGCCACACUGGAACUGAGACACGGUCCAGACUCCUACGGGAGGCAGCAGUAGGGAAUCUGCCGCAAUGGGCGAAAGCCUGACGGAGCAACGCCGCGUGAGUGAUGAAGGUCUUCGGAGCGUAAAACUCUGUUAUUAGGGAAGAACAAAUGUGUAAGUAACUAUGCACGUCUUGACGGUACCUAAUCAGAAAGCCACGGCUAACUACGUG
rnacentral:rRNA from 1 species